rnacentral:rRNA from 1 species
GACGUAGGGCGCGAGCGUUGUCCGGAUUUAUUGGGCGUAAAGAGCUCGUAGGCGGCUUGUCGCGUCGACUGUGAAAUCCCCAGGCUCAACCUGGGAACUGCGUCCGAUACUGGAUGGCUCGAAUCCGGGAGAGGGAUGUGGAAUUCCAGGUGUAGCGGUGAAAUGCGUAGAUAUCUGGAGGAACACCGGUGGCGAAGGCGGCAUCCUGGACCGGUAUUGACGCUGAGGCGCGGAAGCCAGGGGAGCAAACGGG